rnacentral:rRNA from 1 species
CCAAUCGAACCCGGAGAUAGCUGGUUCUCCUCGAAAUAGCUUUAGGGCUAGCCUCGAUACAGAUUUGCGGAGGUAGAGCACUGAAUUUCCUAGGGGGCGUCAAAGCCUACCGAAGAAUAUCAAACUCCGAAUGCCGCGUAAUCGAUUAUCGGGAGUCAGACUGCACGAGAUAAGUUGGGCGGUCAAAAGGGAAAGAGCCCAGACCUUCAGUUAAGGUCCCCAAGUGCGCGUUAAGUGGAAAAGGAUGUGGGAUUUCGAAGACAACCAGGAUGUUGGCUCAGAAGCAGCCAUCCAUUCAAAGAGUGCGUAAUAGCUCACUGGUCGAGAGGUCCUGCGCCGAAAAUGUCCGGGGCUGAAACGCGCCACCGAAACUAAGGAACCGAAAGGUUGGUAGAGGAGCAUUGCAUGCGGGAAGAAGCAGUACCGAAAGGAGCUGUGGACUGCAUGGAAGAGAGAAUGCCGGAAUGAGUAGCGAGAAUAAGGUGAGAAUCCUUAUGGCCGAAUAUCCAAGGUUUCCAGAGUAAAGCUGAUCUGCUCUGGGUAAGUCGGGGCCUAAGGCGAGGACGAGAGUCGUAGCCGAUGGACAACAGGUGGAGAUUCCUGUACUGCGGUAUGACAGAACUGUGGGGACACGUAAGGAAAGCGGAAGCCGGGAAUGGAAAGCCCGGUGCAAGCGGGGUACCAGUCACUUUGGCAAAUCCGGGUGGCAAUGGGAAGCCGUGAUGCGGAGCGAAAUAAAGUAGCGAAGUCCGUGAGCCAUGCGUCAAGAAAAGCCGCUAUCGUUUAUACCGUACCCGUACCGUAAACCGACACAGGUGGAUGAGGAGAGAAUCCUAAGGCCGGCGGAAGAAGCAUUGUCAAGGAACUCGGCAAAAUGGCCCCGUAACUUAGGGAUAAGGGGUGCCUGGGAAACCAGGCCGCAGAGAAUAGGCUCAAGCAACUGUUUAGCAAAAACACAGGUCUAUGCGAAACCGAAAGGUGAGGUAUAUGGGCUGACGCCUGCCCGGUGCUGGAAGGUUAAGAGGAGAGGUUAGCGGUAACGCGAAGCUUUGAAUUUAAGCCCCAGUAAACGGCGGCCGUAACUAUAACGGUCCUAAGGUAGCGAAAUUCCUUGUCGGGU